AGUUUGAUUAUGGCUCAGAUUGAACGCUGGCGGGAUGCUUUACAUGCAAGUCGAACGGCAGCACGGACUUCGGUCUGGUGGCGAGUGGCGAACGGGUGAGUAAUGUAUCCCGGAACGUGCCUAGUAGCGGGGGAUAACUACGCGAAAGCGUAGCUAAUACCACAUACGCCCUUCGGAGGAAAGCGGGGGACCUUCGGGCCUCGCACUAUUAGAAGGGCGGCCGAUAUCCGGAUUAGCUAGUUGGUGGGGGUAACAGCUCACCAAGGCGACGAUCCGUAGCUGGUUUUGAGAGGAUUAUGUUACACUGGGACUGAGACACGGCCCAGACUCCUACGGGGAGGCAGCAGUGGGGAAUUUUGGACAAUGGGGAAAGCCUGAUCCAGCCAUCCCGCGUGUGCGAUGAAGGCCUUCGGGUUGUAAAGCACUUUUGGCAGGAAAGAAACGGCACGGGAUAAUACCCCGUGCAACUGACGGUACCUGCAGAAUAAGCACCGGCUAACUACGUGCCAGCAGCCGCGGUAAUACGUAGGGUGCAAGCGUUAAUCGGAAUUACUGGGCGUAAAGCGUGCGCAGGCGGUUCGGAAAGAAAAGAUGUGAAAUCCCAGAGCUUAACUUUGGAACUGCAUUUUUAACUACCGAGCUAGAGUGUGUCAGAGGGAGGUGGAAUUCCGCGUGUAGCAGUGAAAUGCGUAGAUAUGCGGAGGGGAACACCGAUGGCGAAGGCAGCCUCGGAGAUAACACUGACGCUCACCAUGCACGAAAACGUGGGGAGCAAACGGGAUUAGAUACCCUGGUAGUCCACGCCCUAAACGAUGUCAAUGGCUGUUGGGGCCUUCGGGCCUUGGUAGCGCAGCUAACGCGUGAAGUUGACCGCCUGGGAAAUACGGUCGCAGACAAAACUCAAAGGAAUUGACGGGGACACACAAGCGGUGGAUGAUGUGGAUUAAUUCGAUGCAACGCGAAAAACCUUACCUACCCUUGACAUAUCUGGAAUCCCGAAGAGAUUUGGGGAGUGCUCGCAAGAGAACCGGAACACAGGUGCUGCAUGGCUGUCGUCAGCUCGUGUCGUGAGAAUGUUGGGUUAAGUCCCGCAACGACGCAACCCUUGUCAUUAGUUGCUACGAAGGAGGCACUCUAAUGAGGACACCGGUGACAAACCGGAGGAAGGUGGGGAUGACGUCAAGUCCUCAUGGCCCUUAUGGGUGGGGCUUCACACGUCAUACAAUGGUCCAAGCGAAGGGUCGCCAACCCGCGAGGGGGGAGCCAAUCCCAGAAACCCGAUCAUAGUCCGGAUCGCAGUCUGCAACUCGACCUGCAAUGAAGUCGGAAUCGCUAGUAAUCGCGGAUCAGCAUGUCGCGGUGAAUACGUUCCCGGGUCUUGUACACACCGCCCGUCACACCAUGGGAGUGGGUUUUACCAGAAGUAGUUAGCCUAACCGCAAGGGCGAUUACCACGGUAGGAUUCAUGACUGGGGUGAAGUCAUGCUCAGGUAA
rnacentral:rRNA from 1 species